GAGACGAUGGUAGAGUGGUUAUUACGUAUGAUUGUAAAUCAUAUGCGAAAGCAGCACGUGUUCGAAUCACGUUCGUCUCA
rnacentral:tRNA from 1 species